AGACCGGUCCAGAACUCCCGCUGCAGACCACAUGGGGCGGGUCUGACUCCGGUUUCCCGCUCCCCAAGCUGGAGGCCGACUUCCCCAGACACAGAGAUGAUGGUAACCAAACAGAAGGGAAAUGCCCGGACCCAAGGCCCUCUCCACGCGGCCCCCUAGCCUCCGGGCGCCAGGGUCUGGGUGCGCUCCCACGCCCCAGGCCGCACUCUGGCCGUUCCCGAUGGGGCCCUCUUUGAUCGCGGCCCCCACACCCUCGCUUUCCUUACCGGUCAGGGUGAGUGUCAAGUUUGCGCACUUCGAGGGUCUCCGCCGAUCUCUGAUCGAAAGAAGGGGGAGGGAAAGCUGGGGUUAAAGGGGUGGCCGGAAGGGCCACCAGACUGGAAAAGCCGAAGCUGCGGAUGGACAAACCGCCAAAGCACUUUCGCAGCUUUCCGAGGGGGAGCGAGCGAGCGAGAAAAAGAAGCAAGAUGGCGGCUAGCCAGCCCCUACGUACUACGUCAUGACGCUAAGUACGUAGGUCAAAUCUCCGCAAGACCACACUCCUGCGCAGAGACGGCCGGAUCACGUGAAGCCUCCGUGGCGGCCCAACCCCGACAGAGGGUGCUGGCGCUUCCUGCUGGACGGAGGGAGUUUCUGCAAUCAGAAUUAUCUUUUCAGGACAAAGCUUGGACCUGAGACCUUUCUAAGAAGUCUUGAAUUGACCACGUUUACAAGUUGAUAAUAAGCCUCAGUGAAAUGAGCACUCUUAUGUCUGGUGGGUGGAUGUGUAAAUGGUUGAACCAGCAGUUCGCCAGUAUGUCUCAGUGAAUUUGGGGCAAGCUGAGAAGUCUUGGUGUAUUGAAAAGUUAUCACAGAGAGUGAAAGUAAAACUAGUGUGAGGAACAGAGUAGCAUGGGCUGCUGAGAGCACUUUUUAAGUUUCUAAUUAUGGAUGUGAGAUAAGCCAUUCAGUUUAUUUAUAUGAUCUCUCCAUCACAGUGUUCAGCUCCGUUGAAUAGUAAGAUUCACCCAUGCUGGCUUUUACUAGGCAAGUGUAACAUAGGCAGAUGAGUGUAUCUGGAAGUGGGAGACUACAAUGAUGAUAAUAUUAUGUCAGAACAGAUGGCGAAUGUUUAGUAAAUGGUAUCUUUUGUCCUCUUUGUGAACUACCUAUGACAUAUUUAAAAUUCAAGGAUUUCUUACCACUUCUGGUCUGAACGAUCUUCCCCGCCAGUAGCUGGUGUAUGUCCAUGGAAUUGUCACUGUAGCAAUGUUAGAAUAAAUGAAAUAAUAAAGAGAGGUAAAUUAUGAACACCUCCCUCCCCACUAAUAUUAAUUUGAAGUAGAAAAGUCUGGACUUGCUUGGUGGCUCAUGCCUGUAAUACUAAUACUUUGGUAGGUCAAGGCAAAAGGAUUGCUUGAGACCAGGAGUUCAAGACCAAUCUGGGCAACAUAGUGAGACCCUACCUCUGCAAAAAAAUUAAAAAGAAAAAAAGCUAGCUAGGCAUAGUGGCACAUGCUUAUAGUCCUAGCUACCUGGGAGGCUGGAGGCAAAAGGAUCACUUGAGCACAGGAGGUUGAGGCUGCAGCGAGACUCUUUCUCGAAAAAAUAGAAAAGAAGAAAAGAAAAAGUUUUUUUAUUGAUAUAGGGUCAUUGCCAGGGGAAAGCCUACUGAUCAUCCACAAGAGGACAAGGAAGCAUUACUUUAGUGAAUUUCUACAACCUUCUAGGAUCUGGUCUAUAGUGUCCUGGUCACAGAAACAUCUUUCUUUGUUUUUUUGGAGGCAGGGUCUCACUUUGCUGCCCAGGCUGGAGUGUAGUG
rnacentral:lncRNA from 1 species